rnacentral:rRNA from 1 species
GACGAACGCUGGCGGCGUGCCUAAUACAUGCAAGUAGAACGCUGAAGGAGGAGCUUGCUUCUCUGGAUGAGUUGCGAACGGGUGAGUAACGCGUAGGUAACCUGCCUGGUAGCGGGGGAUAACUAUUGGAAACGAUAGCUAAUACCGCAUAAUAGUAGAUGUUGCAUGACAUUUGCUUAAAAGGUGCAAUUGCAUCACUACCAGAUGGACCUGCGUUGUAUUAGCUAGUUGGUGGGGUAACGGCUCACCAAGGCGACGAUACAUAGCCGACCUGAGAGGGUGAUCGGCCACACUGGGACUGAGACACGGCCCAUACUCCUACGGGAGGCAGCAGUAGGGCAUCUUCGGCAAUGGACGGAAGUCUGACCGAGCAACGCCGCGUGAGUGAAGAAGGUUUUCGGAUCGUAAAGCUCUGUUGUAAGAGAAGAACGAGUGUGAGAGUGGAAAGUUCACACUGUGACGGUAUCUUACCAGAAAGGGACGGCUAACUACGUG